GACGAACGCUGGCGGCGUGCUUAACACAUGCAAGUCGAACGAUGAAGCCGGAGCUUGCUCUGGUGAAUUAGUGGCGAACGGGUGAGUAACACGUGAGUAACCUGCCCUUGACUCUGGGAUAACUGCUAGAAAUGGUAGCUAAUACCGGAUACGACCCUCGGAGGCAUCUCCAGGGGGUGGAAAGAAUUUCGGUCAAGGAUGGGCUCGCGGCCUAUCAGCUAGUUGGUGAGGUAACGGCUCACCAAGGCGACGGCGGGUAGCCGGCCUGGGAGGGUGACCGGCCACACUGGGACUGAGACACGGCCCAGACUCCUACGGGAGGCAGCAGUGGGGAAUAUUGCACAAUGGGCGCAAGCCUGAUGCAGCAACGCCGCGUGAGGGAUGACGGCCUUCGGGUUGUAAACCUCUUUUAGUAGGGAAGAAGCGAAAGUGACGGUACCUGCAGAAAAAGCACCGGCUAACUACGUGCCAGCCGCCGCGGUAA
rnacentral:rRNA from 1 species